rnacentral:rRNA from 1 species
GACGAACGCUGGUGGCGUGCCUAAUACAUGCAAGUCGAGCGGACCAAUAGAAGCUUGCUUCUGUUGGUUAGCGGCGGACGGGUGAGUAACACGUGGGCAACCUGCCUGUAAGGCUGGGAUAACUUCGGGAAACCGGAGCUAAUACCGGAUAAUUCAUCCCCUCGCAUGAGGGGAUGCUGAAAGUCGGUUCACGCUGACACUUACAGAUGGGCCCGCGGCGCAUUAGCUAGUUGGUGAGGUAAUGGCUCACCAAGGCGACGAUGCGUAGCCGACCUGAGAGGGUGAUCGGCCACACUGGGACUGAGACACGGCCCAGACUCCUACGGGAGGCAGCAGUAGGGAAUCUUCCACAAUGGACGAAAGUCUGAUGGAGCAACGCCGCGUGAGCGAUGAAGGCCUUCGGGUCGUAAAGCUCUGUUGUUAGGGAAGAACAAGUAUCGGAGUAACUGCCGGUACCUUGACGGUACCUAACCAGAAAGCCACGGCUAACUACGUGCCAGCCGCCGCAGUAA